AGCGAACGCUGGCGGCAGGCUUAACACAUGCAAGUCGAACGGGCACCUUCGGGUGUCAGUGGCAGACGGGUGAGUAACACGUGGGAACGUGCCCUUCGGUUCGGAAUAACUCAGGGAAACUUGAGCUAAUACCGGAUACGCCCUUCUGGGGAAAGGUUUACUGCCGAAGGAUCGGCCCGCGUCUGAUUAGCUUGUUGGUGGGGUACACGGCCUACCAAGGCGACGAUCAGUAGCUGGUCUGAGAGGAUGAUCAGCCACACUGGGACUGAGACACGGCCCAGACUCCUACGGGAGGCAGCAGUGGGGAAUAUUGGACAAUGGGCGCAAGCCUGAUCCAGCCAUGCCGCGUGAGUGAUGAAGGCCUUAGGGU
rnacentral:rRNA from 1 species